rnacentral:rRNA from 1 species
UGGGGAAUUUUGCGCAAUGGGGGAAACCCUGACGCAGCAACGCCGCGUGAGUGAUGAAGGCCUUCGGGUCGUAAAGCUCUUUUAGUGGGGAAGAAAUCCCAUGGUUACGCCAUGGGUCUGACGGUACCCACAGAAAAAGUUCCGGCUAACUACGUGCCAGCAGCCGCGGUAAUACGUAGGGAGCAAGCGUUGUUCGGAAUUAUUGGGCGUAAAGAGCGCGUAGGCGGUCAGGUAAGUCUGACGUGAAAUCCCGGAGCUUAACUCCGGAACUGCGUUGGAUACUGCCAGGCUUGAGUGUGGGAGAGGAGAGUGGAAUUCCCAGUGUAGAGGUGAAAUUCGUAGAUAUUGGGAGGAACACCGGUGGCGAAGGCGGCUCUCUGGACCACAACUGACGCUGAGGCGCGAAAGCUAGGGUAGCAAACGGG